rfam:Brassica rapa chromosome A7, whole genome shotgun sequence.
GGAAUAUAAGAAACUGUCUCUUAACUGUUAACUAAAAAAACUAAGAUUCGGCUCCUAAAUAAAAAAUUUAAGAACCGGUUCUUAACUUUUUUAGUUAAAAGUUAAGAGAUGGUUACUUAUAUUCU